rnacentral:tRNA from 1 species
GUUAUGGCUCAGUGGUAGAGCACGUGCCUAGUAUGUGCGAGGCCCUGGGUUCGAUCCUCAGCAUCACA